rnacentral:rRNA from 1 species
CCUACGGGAGGCAGCAGUGAGGAAUAUUGGUCAAUGGACGCGAGCCUGAACCAGCCAAGUAGCGUGCAGGAUGACUGCCCUAUGAGUUGUAAACUUCUUUUAUACAAGAGUAAAGUGAGGCACGUGUGCCUUUCUGUAUGUACCAUAUGAAUAAGGAUCGGCUAACUCCGUGCCAGCAGCCGCGGUAAUACGGAGGAUUCAAGCGUUAUCCGGAUUUAUUGGGUUUAAAGGGAGCGUAGACGGUCUGAUAAGUUAGUUGUGAAAGCUCGAGGCUCAACUGUAGAAUUGCCUCUGAUACUGGGCGGCUAGAGUACAGUUGAGGUAGGCGGAAUGUGUGGUGUAGCGGUGAAAUGCUUAGAGAUCAUACAGAACACCGAUUGCGAAGGCAGCUUACCAAGCUGCUACUGACGUUGAGGCACGAAAGUGUGGGGAUCAAACAGGAGUAGAUACCCGGGUAGUC